ACAGUAAAAGAUCAAAGUCCAGGUCCAGGUGGAGGAGGUGGCUGAGUGUGGAGCAGAAGGAGUGGAGGAGUCUCAGUGUG